ACUCCGGGGAAAGAAACACUUAAUCAGGGCAUGUUAUUAAAGCCUAACUGCCUAAAGCCCUUUUCUCAAAGUUGAAGGGUCACAGGGAAUACUACCGAAAAAUAAGCUGCGAGGAUCCCAUUGGGGGUGCAGAGCCGCAUCCCCGCAGAGAUCGCUAACAGGCCGGCAGGUCUCGUCACUGAAGCCCCGGCCCGGAGAUAGGGAUCGGGUCGCUGCACCCAUGCAUGUGGUCCCAUCCUGAGGGUGCACGUAGCACCCUGCUGGAGGUCGAGGAACCGGAGCGUGACCGUGGGGCGUGACCAGGGAGUUUUGCCCCGCGACUGUCCCGCAGCUCACAAGGAAGGCCAGUUCCACUCGGGGAGAAGUUGAGAAGCGUCCCAGCCACACCACCUACCAAUGCAGCGCGGGACGGGAACUUUGCGCCUAAGGCGCACUUGCCAGAGGGACCCUUCAGAGCCGCUCGGACCCGGGACCCGGGACCCGCGACCCGCGUGGCCAAUCACCGCGCGACGCGGACGGGGGCGGUGGCAGGGCGCGAGCAUCCGCGGAGUGACUGCGCCACUCGCCAAUAGGAAGCCACGGUGGGAGACCUCGCCCAUCCAGUUGACCAAUGGGAAAAGAGCGGCUACAGCUGAGGUCCCCGCACUAGCUGUAGGCGCUGGUGGCCGCGGGUUGGAGACCCCUCGGGCUGAAGUGACUUUGCAGGAGACUUGGCUCGACCCCCUCCCCCGUGCCUCCCUCCCACCCGCGAGCCGCAGUCCGGGCCUCACCUGCUGGAAGCGGGGCUUGCCCAGCUGGAAAGGGGGAGCAUCAGUGGAGGCGUUUGCGGGACUGGCCGCCGCCGCCGAGGCUGUGGUCGCUGUAUCCGCCAUGGCCACUGACGCCCGCAAUCUCCAGCCCUUUUAAAAUGUCCCUCCUCGGCCCCCGCCACAGUUGCCUCUCCCGAUUGGCCGUGAGCAACCGCAGCGAGCAGGGCGCGCAGGGCCUUGUGGGAAGUGUAGUUUUUCCCAGCUCUGAGCCUGACAACCCCAGACUGCAGAGAGCUGCACCCACGCAGACCUGGUUUCGGUUCCCGCCGCCAAAGCAGCAGGCAUUGGCAUUCCUGGGAAUGUGUGAAGGUGCGAGUGUACCCGUGGUCCUGUGUCUUACGACCAGGAACCUCCUACAAACGCGGGCCCGACCCGGGACUAGAUAGGCAAGGAUUCCAGGCAGAGUGGGGUUAAUUCAGAAGGCCUUCAGCAAGUCGCACUGCGGGAUUUUUCGGCAGUUUCUUCUAUCAUAACCCUGCCUUGAGACAUUCUGUCACUCUGCCUCUCUCUUAAACAACUGCCCAAGUUGCUAUGACUAUUGAACACGCUAGUCAUACUUUUACCAUGGUUUGAUGGCGUUAAAAUUCCAUCGCCCUACUUCUACAAAAUCUGCUUCAGGAUUCUGUAUAUGGUACUCUCUUUUGCCUAGCUACAUACUAAACUAUGUAGCACAGGCUGGCCUCAAACUCUGACCCUCCUUCCUCUGCCUUCCAAGUCUAGGGUUAUAGGUGCCAGCUAGCAGACCAACUAUGGGCUUAUCUUUCCACUGUAUGGUGUGUGCGGAGUGAUUUUGGUUGAAUAAAUCUUCAAUGCAUGUAGAGCAGGGGUCACACUAGGAAUUCAAAUAUAUUGGGUGAGUUAAGCAUCCUGA